rnacentral:tRNA from 1 species
GCCUGUGGGAUAGUGCAGUUGGUACAGCAUGAGACUCUUAAUCUGAGGGUCAUGGGUUCAAGCCCCACGUUGGGCA